CUGGACCUUUAGCUUCAGUCUCUUUUUGAGUGGCAAAAAAAAGAGUAAAGAAAUGUAUCCUGCCAAUAGAGGAUGUUGGAAAGUUAAGCCCGUAAGACCCAAAGACAGCUCACAUAAUAAAUUGGAACACUUAGGACACCAGGCUUGUUAAAACUUCAGCCUCUGUGCUAGAAUAUUACUAGUUCAGCUCUUCAGUGGUCCAAUAGUGAACUCAAAGAAAACGCUCACUGAAUAAAACAUUGUGUCUCCUAGUAACGAUUAUAGAGGUGACUGCUCAUGCAUCACUGGUCACAGUGAGAUUCUUCAUAUAGUGAUUCUUCUUCCUCCGUAGACAUUUGUUCACACACCUCACCAAGGUCCUUAUAACAGAAGGAACCGAGCCCCUUCACCAAGGUCCUUAUAACAGAAGGAACCGAGCCCCUUCACCAAGGUCCUUAUAACAGAAGGAACCGAGCCCCUUCACCAAGGUCCUUAUAACAGAAGGAACCGAGCCCCUACACCAAG
rnacentral:lncRNA from 1 species